CCCUUAGAUGUCCUGGGCUGCACGCGCGCUACACUGAUGUGUCCAGUAAGCACCUAACCUCUUCCGAAAGGAACGGGUAACCUUUGCAAAGCCCAUCGUGAUGGGGAUAGAUUAUUGCAAUUAUUAGUCUUGAACGAGGAAUUCCUAGUAAGCACAAGUCAUCAGCUUGUGUUGAUUACGUCCCUGCCCUUUGUACACACCGCCCGUCGCUCCUACCGAUUGAAUGUUCCGGUGAGCUCUUCGGACUGCGCGGUCUGCAGUUUCUGCGUUCCGUGCGGAAAGUUGCGCAAACCUUAACAUUUAGAGGAAGGAGAAGUCGUAACA
rnacentral:rRNA from 1 species